AGACCCGAAACCCGGUGAUCUAGCCAUGGGCAGGUUGAAGGUUGGGUAACACUAACUGGAGGACCGAACCGACUAAUGUUGAAAAAUUAGCGGAUGACCUGUGGCUGGGGGUGAAAGGCCAAUCAAACCGGGAGAUAGCUGGUUCUCCCCGAAAGCUAUUUAGGUAGCGCCUCGUGAAUUCAUCUCCGGGGGUAGAGCACUGUUUCGGCUAGGGGGCCAUCCCGGCUUACCAACCCGAUGCAAACUGCGAAUACCGGAGAAUGUUAUCACGGGAGACACACGGCGGGUGCUAACGUCCGUCGUGAAGAGGGAAACAACCCAGACCGCCAGCUAAGGUCCCAAAGUCAUGGUUAAGUGGGAAACGAUGUGGGAAGGCCCAGACAGCCAGGAUGUUGGCUUAGAAGCAGCCAUCAUUUAAAGAAAGCGUAAUAGCUCACUGGUCGAGUCGGCCUGCGCGGAAGAUGUAACGGGGCUAAACCAUGCACCGAAGCUGCGGCAGCGACGCUUAUGCGUUGCUGGGUAGGGGAGCGUUCUGUAAGCCUGCGAAGGUGGCCUGUGAGGGUUGCUGGAGGUAUCAGAAGUGCGAAUGCUGACAUAAGUAACGAUAAAGCGGGUGAAAAGCCCGCUCGCCGGAAGACCAAGGGUUCCUGUCCAACGUUAAUCGGGGCAGGGUGAGUCGACCCCUAAGGCGAGGCCGAAAGGCGUAGUCGAUGGGAAACGGGUUAAUAUUCCCGUACUUGGUGUUACUGCGAAGGGGGGACGGAGAAGGCUAUGUUGGCCGGGCGACGGUUGUCCCGGUUUAAGCGUGUAGGUGUGUGUUCCAGGUAAAUCCGGUUCACUUUAACACUGAGGCGUGACGACGAGGCACUACGGUGCUGAAGCAACAAAUGCCCUGCUUCCAGGAAAAGCCUCUAAGCAUCAGGUAACAUCAAAUCGUACCCCAAACCGACACAGGUGGUCAGGUAGAGAAUACCAAGGCGCUUGAGAGAACUCGGGUGAAGGAACUAGGCAAAAUGGUGCCGUAACUUCGGGAGAAGGCACGCUGACACGUAGGUGAAGUGAUUUACUCAUGGAGCUGAAGUCAGUCGAAGAUACCAGCUGGCUGCAACUGUUUAUUAAAAACACAGCACUGUGCAAACACGAAAGUGGACGUAUACGGUGUGACGCCUGCCCGGUGCCGGAAGGUUAAUUGAUGGGGUCAGCGCAAGCGAAGCUCCUGAUCGAAGCCCCGGUAAACGGCGGCCGUAACUAUAACGGUCCUAAGGUAGCGAAAUUCCUUGUCGGGUAAGUUCCGACCUGCACGAAUGGCGUAAUGAUGGCCAGGCUGUCUCCACCCGAGACUCAGUGAAAUUGAACUCGCUGUGAAGAUGCAGUGUACCCGCGGCAAGACGGAAAGACCCCGUGAACCUUU
rnacentral:rRNA from 2 species